rnacentral:lncRNA from 1 species
GCAUAUGUAUGUAUGUAUAUAGGUGUAUAAGUAGAUAUAUCGUAUCGUGUAUAAAUAAUUACAAAAAAAUCUCUUUACGAUGUACGAACAAAAAAUACUUGCGCUCAAUUUUAGACAUGAAACAAAACCUUUACAUCGAGGAGUGGGGGAGGGGUUAGGGAUAGGGUUGCAGGGAAACGCGAGAGAGAAUCGAUUCUUGAUCCUCUACUACUGACGCCGCACAGUCCGCUCCCGCUCCCGAUCUCGCUCCCGUU